GUGGAUUAGAUACCCUGGUAGUCCACGCCGUAAACGAUGUCUACUAGCCGUUGGGAGCCUUGAGCUCUUAGUGGCGCAGCUAACGCACUAAGUAGACCGCCUGGGGAGUACGGUCGCAAGAUUAAAACUCAAAUGAAUUGACGGGGGCCCGCACAAGCGGUGGAGCAUGUGGUUUAAUUCGACGCAACGCGAAGAACCUUACCAGGUCUUGACAUCCAGAGAACUUUCCAGAGAUGGAUUGGUGCCUUCGGGAGCUCUGAGACAGGUGCUGCACGGUCGUCGCCAACU
rnacentral:rRNA from 1 species